GAGUUUGAUCCUGGCUCAGGAUGAACGCUGGCGGCGUGCUUAACACAUGCAAGUCGAACGGGAAAUAUUUUAUUGAAGCUUCGGUGGAUUUGGCUGGUUUCUAGUGGCGGACGGGUGAGUAACGCGUGGGUAACCUGCCUUAUACAGGGGGAUAACAGUCAGAAAUGACUGCUAAUACCGCAUAAGCGCACAGGACCGCAUGGUCCGGUGUGAAAAACUCCGGUGGUAUAAGAUGGACCCGCGUUGGAUUAGCUAGUUGGUGGGGUAACGGCUCACCAAGGCGACGAUCCAUAGCCGGCCUGAGAGGGUGAACGGCCACAUUGGGACUGAGACACGGCCCAGACUCCUACGGGAGGCAGCAGUGGGGAAUAUUGCACAAUGGGGGAAACCCUGAUGCAGCGACGCCGCGUGAAGGAAGAAGUAUCUCGGUAUGUAAACUUCUAUCAGCAGGGAAGAUAGUGACGGUACCUGACUAAGAAGCCCCGGCUAACUACGUGCCAGCAGCCGCGGUAAUUC
rnacentral:rRNA from 1 species